rnacentral:rRNA from 1 species
UUCGUAGGCGGUGCGGCAAGUCGGGAGUGAAAUCUAUGGGCUCAACCCAUAGGCUGCUUCCGAAACUGCCGUGCUGGAGUGCGGGAGAGGCGCGUGGAAUUGCAGGUGUAGCGGUGAAAUGCGUAGAUAUUUGCAGGAACACCCGUGGCGAAAGCGGCGCGCUGGACCACUACUGACGCUGAGGAACGAAAGCUAGGGGAGCAAACAGGAUUAGAUACCCUGGUAGUCCUAGCCCUAAACGAUCAGGACUUGGGGUGCCGCCCGUUCGGGCGUCGUCCCGGAGCUAACGCGUUAAGUCCUGCACCUGGGGAGUACGGUCGCAAGACUGAA